AUUAUUCUCCAAACCCUCGACCACUGCGGCGGCCACUGACGGACGGCCGCUUUCCCCUCCGCUCGGCCGCCCGGCUGCUCACCGCCAGCGCUCUCGCAGACGGCGAUGUCGUCUUCGGAGCUGCGCCCGCUUCCUGCCGCCUCCUUCUCCGGCGACCUGCCCGCGGAUGCGCUGUACGAGGUCCUCCUCCGCAUCCCGGCCAAGGAGCUCUGCCGCCUCCGCGCCGUCUGCCCGGCCUGGCGCGCGCUCACCUCCAACCCGUUCUUCGUCGCGGCGCACAAGUCCCGCCACCACAAGUAGCCCCCGCUCCUCGCCGUGGCCUACGGAGACGACGGUAAUCACAACGUUGUCGAGAUUUUGGAUCUGUCGGGCAACGUGGUGAAGCGGAUUCCGAAUACCAAGUACAAAUCUGAUCUGAUGUUCGACAGCAUCCGUGUUGUGCGCACGCGGCUGGACCUCAUCUGUUUGAGCUGGGUUGUCUGCUCUCGGGCCUUCUGGGUGCUCAACCCGGCCACUGGAGCUACUAUCGCCUUGCCGUUGGGCUUCUCAGAGGAAUUGGAGCAUGAGCUAGAGGGGAAAAGGCUCUGCCAUUUUGAGUCCUGUGCUUUUGGGCAUGUCUCCUCUACCAGAGAGUACAAGGCGCUCCGUGUCUCUAGCAUUGAUGACCGGCAGGUAAGUGAGGUUAUCACCUUCGAUGACACCAACCAUGGAUGCUGGAGGAGAAAGCAGGACCCUCCGUCCCAUAUCUGUGCCCGUCGCCAGAUGAGACUUGAUGCGGUGAUCUACUUCUUGAUGGAUUUUUACCCCACAUACUGUAAUACCCCGGGGUUUUAAUCACUGAGCCUGGUAGCAUAGCGUCGUUCAACCUUGAGACAGAGGAGUGGGGUGUUCUACCUGGUCCAGAACAGGUGCAGAUGUUUGUGCAAGAGAACGAUGAUUACAGUUACGCAGAACUUGACCUCCAGUUAUCAUUGGCUGAGUUGAACGGCUGCUUAGUUCUGUUUCAUAAUAUUCUUCACAAAUCUAUGGACUUGUGGUUUUUGUCAGAUUCUGAGAAAAGUAUCUGGGUUAAGAAAUACAACAUGCCUUCACAUGUUUCUAGGCUUUAUAGGUAUCCUUUUCUGAUGUUAGAUGAUGGGACGAUUUUCUUCAGUGGGGUGGAUGGUCUACAAGGUUUACUUAGUGAUGGAGAGCAAGGAGAGGGAUUUCUGCUAAGUUAUGAUCCAAGAAACGACACUUAUGGUUAUGCACUAAAACUGAGAGGUUCCCAAUCCAUUGGCAUUUACACAGGAAGCCUGCUGAGUUUAUAGAGUAGCUGUCAGUGAUGAGUUGAAUAAUGCUGGAUGUUUACCUUAUGUUGUGCAUGGGAACAAUUAGUGAGGCAUUGUACUGAUGCAUGGCAAUAAAAAAGUACUUUUGUGCCUUGAAAGUUUAUUAUGUUUAUCUCCGGUACAUUUUGCAUGAGAAGAUUUGCAGUUUUUUGUUUGUCCCGUUUUGUAUGGCAAUUUCAGGAGUUUGGUCAAUGACCAGUUUGUAACGAACAAGCUUUUCAAUGUGGUGUUUCAAAAUAUAAUACGCUGCUCUUUACCCUUUGA